CCUAGGGGUGGCAGCAGUGAGGAAUAUUGGUCAAUGGGCGCGAGCCUGAACCAGCCAAGUAGCGUGAAGGAUGACUGCCCUACGGGUUGUAAACUCCUUUUAUAGAGGAAUAAAGUGCGGCACGUGUGCCUUUUUGUAUGUACUUUACCAAUAAGGAUCGGCUAAUUCCAUGCCAGCAGCCGCGGUAAUACGGAGGAUACGAGCGUUAUCCGGAUUUAUGGGGUUUAAAGGGAGCGUAGAUGGGUUGUUAAGUCAGUUGUGAAAGUUUGCGGCUCAACCGUAAAAGUGCAAUUGAUACUGGAAGUCUUGAGUACAGUUGAGGUAGGUGGAAGUCGUGGUGUAGCGGUGAAAUGCGUAGAGAUCACGAAGAACUUCGAUUGCGAAGGCAGCUUACUAAACUGCCACUGACAUUGAUGCUCGAAAGUGUGGGUAUCAAACAGGAUUAGAUACCCUAGUAGUC
rnacentral:rRNA from 1 species